UUGUCUUUACCCGGAGCUACCAUGAGCAAGCGGAACCAGGUAUCUUAUGUGCGGACAACCGAACCAGCGUUCCUGGCUCGCUUCAAGGAACGGGUCGGCUACAGGGAGGGGCCCACCGUAGAGACCAAGAGAAUCCAGCCUCAGCUCCCAGAUGAAGAUGGGGAUCACAGUGACAAAGAAGAUGAACAGCCUCAAGUGGUGGUUUUGAAAAAGGGAGACCUAUCACUUGAAGAAGUCAUGAAAAUUAAAGCAGAAAUAAAGGCUGCCAGAGCAGAUGAAGAACCAGCUUCAGCUGAUGGAAGAAUUCUAUAUCGAAAACCAGUCAAGCAUCCCUCAAAUGAAAAAUGUUCAGGUUUAACAGCAAGCUCAAAAAAGAAGAAGCCACAUGAAGAUGUAAUAAAUCAGGACUCAGUCAAAAAGUACUCACAAAAACAAAUAAAAAACAGUAGCCUCCUUUCUUUUGACAACGAAGAUGAAAAUGAGUAAGUGUAAAUAGUUUGAAUUUGGUCUACUUUGAAAGUAUAUGGGGUGUUUUUUUAAAAUAACAUUUUUUUCCUAUUAUAAAGAUACUACAA